rnacentral:misc_RNA from 1 species
UCGGCCUUUAGCUCCACCACAACCAG